UAUAUUCAUGAAUACGUGUUAGAAAUUCUAGAUAUCUAUAAACUAGACAGUAUAAUAUAGAUCCAAAUCUAGAUUAUCAUAUAAUAUGUAGAUCUAGCUAGAAGGUCUAGAGUAGGGGUGCACCGGAUAGCACAUUUUGAUAUCCGGCCCCGGUCGGAUAUGACCGGAUAGUAAAAUUUGAUAUUCGGCCGGGGCCGGAUACCUAAGUGUCUUGUUAAUAGCUUGUGUUGCUGAACAUUUUACUUAACUGUUAAAUAACAUACCUAUAUUGGUUGGUUUUAUUUUUUUUCCCUUUUAUAUACCUUAUUGUUUUAAACUCUGUUACUGAUUGAUUUUUUUAAACUUAACAGUAUUUCUAAAAACCUGUAUAGCAUGAGUGUGUCUGUGUGUAUGUAGGAUGCCACCAACUGUAAAGGAUGUGUGCAGAAAGGUCAAUGUAAAUAAUGUUAGUAUAUAUUUAGCUAGUUACUAAUGUAAAUCUCAUAAGUAAAAUGCAAUCUGCCUUGUAUAGUGGUCGGAUGUAUGUGUUCAUGAAUUUCAGACCAACAACCUGGUCAGAUAUACCUAGUGAGCCUACACAUGUAGUCCUAAUGUAGUGUGUAUAGUUGUUUGUGUUAACCAUCAAGCAUUGUUUUUUCCUUGAGCAUACGCACGCAAUAUAGUUGGGUGUCAGUCAAAAAAGAUAACACAUUGGCAUGGUCAGUCAAGCAUAUAGAUAAAUUAUGCCCGUUCACUAGUUAGAGGUCAAGGGUUUUUUUGUUUUUUUUUUUACGCUCCAGCAUAUUGUUUCUUUGUUUGCUAGAUCUAACUGCGGUACUAUUAUUCAAUUUAUUUUAUGCGAUUUACAAAUUUACUGUAGGGUUUUCCGUUAUUUAUUAAGUCAAAAGAAUUAAACAAUGAAAUUAGCUUUCUUUCUAAAGGUUUUAAUACAAAGCAAAAAAAUACACACACGCAAACAUGCACAUCUUUGUUUUAUUUUAUUGUGCAAAGAACGUACGUAAGAAACAUUAAAUGCAAAGAACGUAUGUUAGAAACAUCUUCCUUAAUUAUUUAAUUAAUUUAAUUAUUUAACCGUACUCUUUAUUGACAGUGUAAUAUCCUUUGUUAGCACGUUGUGUUUUUUCAUUCUGGCUUAAAAAUGGUCAAUGUCUAUCAAUAAAUUGGGUGUCAAGGACCAAAGAAAUAAAAUAAAGAGUAGGGGGUGUUUAGCUCUCCAUUUAAAGAUAGCCCUUGUCGUGUCUUCUACAAAAUAAUUAGUUACUGGCUUACUGGGCUAUAUAAUCUCGCGGUUUGUGUUCUGUGUAGCUAAAGGUCACUCGUUUAGGUGCGUGUGAUCUUUAGUCCAGCUUACUAAUUGAGAUUUAUGUUCAAGUAACUCGGCACACUUGAAAAGGUGUGGCCUCUAGCCCAAACCACGUGAUUAAGAUUUUUCUCCAAAUAAGCAAACUCUUUGUCCGGAUACCCGUGUAGAUGUUGAGCUUGAAGUCCAGUCCCCCCCCCCCCCAAAUAAGAUUAACUUCUAAGUAAAGAAACAUAGUUCCCUCGUGUGACCUCUAGAGAGUGCUUACGUCCAUCGUAUUUGACUUGGGGUCACCUGUCAAUCAAUGAACUCAAUGUGAUGAACUAAACAAAUAAAAGGGGGAGGGAGUUGUUCAUCUGGAAAUAUACCUAGUUAAAUUAGAGGUGUGGCUCUUGUAGUCCAGCCCCCACUAAUAAAGAUUUACUACUAAGUAAACAAACUCAGUUCCCUCGACAGGUGUGACCUCUAGAGAGUGUCAGGUGUGACCUCUAGAGAGUGUCAAUACGCUGACAUGAAACCUACGUCCAUCGUAUUUAACUUGUGGUCACCUGCCUAUAAAAAAAAACUUAAUGUGAUGGACUAAACAAAUAAAAGGGGUGGGAGUUGUUAAUCUCUACCUCUGGAGAUAUACCCGCACAGCUAGACAGACGUCUGGUCAGCAUGACGUAGUCAAGGAAUGUAGCAUUUUAACAUGUUAACUAACCUACUCAAAAGUCAAGACAAAUUGAAAAAAGUGUCAGCCAUUGCUGCUCUGUAUGUAAAGCGCAUUUAUGAUGUAAAGUUUCAUUUCUAUUUAUAUUAAGUUAUUAACACGUCUUGUCUUUAUAAUAAACGAUGUUUGGAGCAUAUUCAUAAUGGCUCUAUUUUUAAGAACAUUAUUUUGUUUUAAUAUAAACAUUAAUACAUUCUACAACAGACAUUAAUGGAACGAGGUCCACUUUAUGCAUAUUAAAUAGGUGUAUUUUUUACUAUCCGGUAGUGAUAUCCGACCGGAGCCGAAUAGCACCGGAUAGUAAAAAAUGCCGGAUAUUCGGCAGAAGCCGGAGCGACUAUCCGGUGCACCCCUAGUCUAGAGGUCUAUUAAUACUAAUGGACCUCAUUCACCAAUCGUAAACAAACAACAUUUAGCCACGUGACAGCCUUAAACAGAAAAGUUCAUAGUAAGUAUUAAACCCAAUUCAGCCCUAUUCUAAGGAGUGCGAAGUUGCUUUCAAGUAAGAGAUCAGAAUGAUCUAUGCAUGCACUACAGAUGCUGUUCUUUUCACAAGGAAGCCUGCUCAAGAAGGGAAGAAAAAUUAUAAUUCCUUUUAAGAUUACCGAUCAGUAACCCGAAAAAAAGUUUUAAUGAGAUGGAAUUAAUUCAACCUGCUGCAUGGAAGUCAAAAUAUGAUCGCUUUACUGAUGUUGAAAUUAUUGUCACCACUCUUGAAGUUAGCCUGUAAAGGAUGCAAAGGAUAGAAUGAAAAUGCUUUCUUCAUUUCUUGUUCAUAUUUGUCUUUUUUGUU